rnacentral:piRNA from 1 species
GCCGGGUGCUGCCCUAACUCCUUCCACACC